CCUACGGGUGGCUGCAGUGGGGAAUAUUGGGCAAUGGGCGCAAGCCUGACCCAGCAACGCCGCGUGAAGGAAGAAGGCUUUCGGGUUGUAAACUUCUUUUGACAGGGAAGAGCAGAAGACGGUACCUGUCGAAUAAGCCACGGCUAACUACGUGCCAGCAGCCGCGGUAAUACGUAGGUGGCAAGCGUUGUCCGGAUUUACUGGGUGUAAAGGGCGUGUAGCCGGGCUGACAAGUCAGAUGUGAAAUCCGGGGGCUCAACCCCCGAACUGCAUUUGAAACUGUGUUGCUGGAGUGCAGGAGGGGUAAGCGGAAUUCCUAGUGUAGCGGUGAAAUGCGUAGAUAUUAGGAGGAACACCGGUGGCGAAGGCGGCUUACUGGACUGUAACUGACGUUGAGGCUCGAAGGCGUGGGGAGCAAACAGGAUUAGAUACCCGAGUAGUC
rnacentral:rRNA from 1 species